UACGGGGGGGGCAAGCGUUGUUCGGAAUUAUUGGGCGUAAAGAGCUCGUAGGCGGUCUGUCGCGUCGAUCGUGAAAACUUGGGGCUUAACCCUGAGCUUGCGGUCGAUACGGGCAUGACUGGAGUUCGGCAGGGGAGACUGGAAUUCCUGGUGUAGCGGUGAAAUGCGCAGAUAUCAGGAGGAACACCGGUGGCGAAGGCGGUUCUCUGGGACGGUACUGACGCUGAGACGCGAAAGCGUGGGGAGCGAACAGG
rnacentral:rRNA from 1 species